GAUGAACGCUGGCGGCGUGCCUAAUACAUGCAAGUCGAGCGAACGGACGAGAAGCUUGCUUCUCUGAUGUUAGCGGCGGACGGGUGAGUAACACGUGGAUAACCUACCUAUAAGACUGGGAUAACCUCGGGAAACCGGAGCUAAUACCGGAUGAUAUUUUGAACCGCAUGGUUCAAAAGUGAAAGACGGUCUUGCUGUCACUUAUAGAUGGAUCCGCGCUGCAUUAGCUAGUUGGUAGGGUAACGGCUUACCAAGGCAACGAUGCAUAGCCGACCUGAGAGGGUGGUCGGCCACACGAGAACUUAGACACGGACCAGACUCCUACGGGAGGCAGCAGUAGGGAAUCUUCCGCAGUGGGCGGGAGCCUGACGGAGCAACGCCGCGUGAGUGAUGAAAGUCUUCGGAUCGUGAAACUCUGUUAUUAGGGAAGAACAUAUGUGUAAGGAACUGUGCACAGCUUGACGGUACCUAGUCAGAAAGCCACGGCUAACUACGUG
rnacentral:rRNA from 1 species